rnacentral:rRNA from 1 species
UACGGGGGGAGCAAGCGUUGUUCGGAUUCAUUGGGCGUAAAGGGUGCGUAGGUGGCGGGGUAAGUCAGGUGUGAAAUCUCGGAGCUCAACUCCGAAACUGCACUUGAUACUGCCUUGCUCGAGUACUGGAGAGGAGAUUGGAAUUUACGGUGUAGCAGUGAAAUGCGUAGAUAUCGUAAGGAAGACCAGUGGCGAAGGCGGGUCUCUGGACAGUUCCUGACGCUGAGGCACGAAGGUCAGGGGAGCAAACGGG